rnacentral:rRNA from 1 species
ACAUGCCUACAACAUAGCGUUAAUGCACCAGAUCCCAUUAGAACUCCACAGUUAAGUGGACUCAGGCUAGAGUAGUAUUGCGAUGGGUGACCACCCAGGAAUUCCUAGUGUUUUACAUGCC